rnacentral:rRNA from 1 species
AGUGGAUGGGGAGCAACCUAGUUGUGCGUGUGUAAAGGUAGUGCCAAGAAAAGCGAUGAUCAUGUUGAAAAUCAAUUCCCGGUACCCGAAACCGACACAGGUGGGCAAGUAGAGAAUACUAAGGGGCGCGAGGUAACUCUCUCCAAGGAACUCGGCAAAAUGACCCCGUAACUUAGGGAGAAGGGGUGCCACCGAGAGGUGGUCGCAGUGAAGAGGCCCAGGCGACUGUUUAGCAAAAACAUAGGUCUCUGCAAACUCGAAAGAGGAGGUAUAGGGGCUGACGCCUGCCCAGUGCCGGAAGGUUAAAGAAGUUGGUCAGUUUUAUGAUGAAGCUAGCGACUGAAGCCCCGGUGAACGGCGGCCGUAACUAUAACGGUCCUAAGGUAGCGAAAUUCCUUGUCGGGUAAGUUCCGACCCGCACGAAAGGCGUAACGAUCUGGGCGCUGUCUCGGAGAGAGGCUCGGCGAAAUAGGAUUGUCUGUGAAGAUACGGACUACCUGCAUUUGGACAGAAAGACCCUAUGAAGCUUUACUAUAGCUUGGAAUUGUGUUCGGGCUUCCUGUGCGCAGGAUAGGUGGGAGGCGUAGAAGGUAUUCUUGUGGGGAUACUGGAGCCAACGGUGAGAUACCACUCUCAGGAGGCUAGAAUUCUAACUUAAUUAAGGACAGUUUCAGGUGGGUAGUUUGACUGGGGCGGUCGCCUCCAAAAAGGUAACGGAGGCGUACAAAGGUUCCCUCAGACUGGUUGGAAAUCAGUCGAAGAGUGCAAAGGCAGAAGGGAGCUUGACUGCGAGAAGUACAGUUCGAGCAGGGUGGAAACACGGUCUUAGUGAUCCGACGGUGCUGUGUGGAAGGGCCGUCGCUCAACGGAUAAAAGUUACUCUAGGAUAACAGGCUGAUCUCCCCCAAGAGUUCACAUCGACGGGGAGGUUUGGCACCUCGAUGUCGGCUCAUCGCAACCUGGGGCGGAAGUACGUCCCAAGGGUUGGGCUGUUCGCCCAUUAAAGCGGUACGUGAGCUGGGUUCAGAACGUCGUGAGACAGUUCGGUCCAUAUCCGAUGUAGGCGUGAGAAUAUUGAGAGGAGCCUUCCUUAGUACGAGAGGACCGGGAAGGACGCACCGCUGGUGUACCUGUUAUGAUGCCAAUUGUAAACGCAGGGUAGCCAAGUGCGGAGAGGAUAACCGCUGAAAGCAUCUAAGUGGGAAGCCCACCUCAAGAUGAGUAUUCUGGUGUAAGGUCACGGGAAGACGACCCGUAAAUAGGCACGAGGUGGAAGUGCAGAGAUGUAUGAAGCCGAAGUGUACUAAUAGACCGUCGGCUUGACC